UGGAAGUGGGUGCGACAGGCGGUGGAAGUAGGUAGGGGUGAGGCGUUGGCCGUAGUGAUUGGUGUGAAAGAGCGGGGAGGCGGCCGUACAGGGCAUCUGUGAAAACUCGAGGCUCAACCUCGGGACGUCGGUUGAAACCGUACGGCUAGAGUCCGGAAGAGGAGAGUGGAAGUCCCGGUGUAGCGGUGAAAGGCGCAGAGAUCGGGAAGAACACCCGUGGCGAAGGCGGCUCUCUGGGACGGUACUGACGCUGAGACGCGAAAGCGUGGGGAGCGAACAGGAUUAGAUACCCCGGUAGUC
rnacentral:rRNA from 1 species